GCGCCCAUAGCUCAGUUGGAUAGAGCGUCGGCCUCCGGAGCCGAAGGCCAGAGGUUCGACUCCUCUUGGGCGCA
rnacentral:tRNA from 2 species